GAUGAAGAACGCAGCGAAAUGCGAUAAGUAAUGUGAAUUGCAGAAUUCAGUGAAUCAUCGAAUCUUUGAACGCACCUUGCGCCCUUUGGCUAUUCCGAAGGGCAUGCCUGUUUGAGUAUCGUGAACACCUCAACUCUCAUGGUUUGCCAUGAUGAGCUUGGACUUGGGGGUUUUGCUGGCCUUCGGUCGGCUCCUCUCAAACGGAUCAGCUUUCCAGUGUUUGGUGGCGUCACGGGUGUGAUAACUAUCUACGCCUGUGGUUUUCUGCCAGAUAACCUUCAGCGAUGGAGGUUCGCUGGGGCUCAUAAAUGUCUCUCUUCAGUGGAGACAGCUUUUUGGACGUUUGAUCUCAAAUCAGGUAGGACUACCCGCUGAACUUAAGCAUAUCAAAAGCGGAGGA
rnacentral:misc_RNA from 1 species